rnacentral:tRNA from 1 species
GGCAACUUGGCCGAGUGGUUAUGGCGCAGGGUAAGUCCACAACUCCCCAUGUUGUAGCAUCAUCGCAUGUCCUAACACACUUCAAGUUUCAGGCCACUUCAUCUGAAAGACCAUACCUGUUCGAAAGAGCGAGGGUUCGAAUCCCUCAGUUGUCA